ensembl:lncRNA
AAGUCACCCAGCGGCCAGACCAUCCCCAAGGGUGCAUCCCACGAGCUAUGGAAAGGUCCUGCCGGGGCAGGAUUGAGCUGGUACGGCGCCCACACCUGCUCGCCUGGCCCCACUUGCCAGGGCGUCGUGACAGGAGCCGUCCCAGAAUCAUAGCCGGAGCUCCCCAACCGGAGGUGGUGGUGAGGAAGGGCAGCGGCUUGGGACCAGACCCAGACUCUCUGUGUCCCCACCUGUGCGUCCGCAGCUGCGAGGUACUGAGGCAGGGGCUCUGAGGAAGAGGAAUUUACCUGGGGCUCUGAAAGUUCUGGAGUUUGUCCUGUAGACGAGAGAGGCAAAGGGAAGAGGCCAUUGCAGCCCGAGGGAGCAAGCCUGGAAGUGAGGGCACUGGGGGCUGCCCCCAGACUGAAGGGAGGAGGAGGCCCACGGAGGGGAGGCUGGUCAGGGUGUGUUGGGCUCUGUCCGUGGGACCAGGGUGUCCGGGCUUCAUGUGUGGGCACCAGGGAGCAGCUGUGCUGUCUGAGGAGGGGUACAGCGGCCAGAGGACUUUUUUUGGCCAGGGGGGCAGGUAGGGUGUGGCUGG